CUUUAAGAUGGUUGUCACCUUUCGUUCAUGUUUGCGGUGUGUGACGCAGGCGGUUCAACAAACAUCGUUGCUGCAUUAAAAUCAUUUUUAGUAAUUCCUGCUCUUUUUGGAGAUGUUUCACUCAGUCGCUGCAUAUAUUUAUUUCAAUAGUAAAUAACAAGACAGAAUAAAGAUCUCAGUCACUUCAGCAUAAAGCUUAUAAAACACUUUCGGAUCGGUGCUUGAUACCAAAUUGUCAUUAUCAAAAAAGUCACAAUUAAACAUGAAUAUGCUGAUUUUAUAAUGUGAAUCAUUGUAUUCUGUUAUACAAAUGUGGUCACAAGGGCUGCAGCUGAAAUACACGUCAAAGCAGUUCAAUCAAAGGGGUUUGGGAAACGGUGCCGUGAUAUAAAGGAUCCACACACACGAUAAGGGUCUCCUGCACUUUGAAAUCCGCCGCUUUGAAACACAUGUGGGAAAAGUCUGCGUGGCCGCACGCGACAUUCAAUUGUUAGAAUGUUGCCUCAACAUGGACGAAAGGCUAUAGGUGUAAUACACUGGGUUUUUCAUGUAGAGGGAUGUGUUGUGAUUUGUUCUAAUUAGUCACGUAAGCGUAAAUUGUUGAGUUCCGGAGCGGGAGAGUUGCGAGCAGGCUGAUAUAUUCUGGCAGUCCUGAAUAAAUAGGUUCCGUGAAACCCACCACGGUUUUCGGCGCUUAUUUACAUCCCGCCGUGCGUCGUGUUUCGUGAACUCAAUCGCGGAGGUGAAUACGACCGAAGACAAAACAGGC
ensembl:lncRNA